AGCAGUCAAGAGCAACUAGAAAUCUGGAGAAAAAGCUAAAUGACUAUAUACGAUGCCAAGGUAAAUAACCAAACCGUAUUUUGCUGAUUAUUAAUAUAUGACAUGCCACAAAGUUUUUUAUAUUUUGUAAAAGCUUCCACUUCCAUUCACCGACUCUGUAAGCCAAUAAGAAUUUGAUUGGUGAAAUUAAAUAUCCUCCUACCUUUUUUUUCCUACAUAUCAUACUAUCCAUAUGAAACGAUGACAUGCAUAUCUUACUAUCCUCCUACCUUUUCUUCCUAUUUUGGUUGUGUAUUUCGAUUAUGACUCCUUUUUGUAUAAAUUGGAACAGACGAAUUCUAAAAUUCCAAUACAUCGAUUGUAGUCUUUCCUCGUGAUUCCUUUUUAUAUUAUUUAAUUUUGAUGCCCUUUGCCUAUUUCCAUUUGGUUUUCUGAUUACUUAUCCCUACCGGUGGAAUCUUUAAUCGGAUGGACUUUUACAUUCUUUCAUUCGUCAUAUCCACUCAAAAUUUUCAAGAAUUUGGUGAAGCAGCUAAGAAUUUUACCCUCAAAAUAUGUUGAUUUCAGUAGAUGAUCUUUCCUUAAUUUCCAAUUCUUGUAUAUGAUGUUAUCAAAAUUUUGAAAAUCGUUUUUCUUUUUACUAAAAUUUUGGAUGGUUUGGUUGCUGCAGGUAAAUCUGAUACGAUAUUUGUUACUUAGUUGCAGUUUCAAUUCUUAUGCAGAAGAUGGAAAAGUGAAACGUGGUUACUUUGUUCAGGUAACUUCAAUUCUUUUACCACCUUUUAUAUACUUUUGAAUAUCGAUUAAAGUUUUUAGAUGUGAUUGCAGACAUGGAGAUCGUUGCUGCAUUCCAAUGAGUCGGAAAGCUUUGACAUGAGAAGUCACAGCCACUCCAUCAGUAAAAUUCUAUUUUUAUUGGAUAUCUCUUUCUACAGUUUAUAUGACUUUCAACCAUGAGUCCAAGUUUGUGCAAUUUAUGGGAAUAAUAAUUAUCAGUUACAUGUAUCUCUUCUCCCUUUACCAGUGUUAUCUAUAUUCUCACCUGCUUAGAAAAGGAUUUUUAAUAAAUACCCUUGUAUGUUGAUCUUUUUUUUGUUGAUUUUUUAAUGAUUACAGAAUGGCCAUUCACCAGCUCGGCCUCAUAUGAUGUUUUGGAUUCACAGGUGUAUUAAUUAGCUCAAGGUAAAGCAUAAACAAAUAAGUGAAAUUUGUUGUAUAUAUUUAACCCUUUCAAGUUUAGGCCAAAUAAAGCAUACACUUGAAACAUCUAAUCUUUUUACUGUUAUAUAGUUAUUUUGUGACACUUUCACUUUGCAUUUAUUACAGACCAUGUGGUUUCUUGCUGCAAAAAUUUGGGUUUUUGAAUCAUUAGUUCCCUUUUUUAAACAGUUAUGAACAUCUUCGUAUAAUAAAUCAAAUAUAAACUGAGUUUAUUCUAAAUAUAUUAUGAUGCUUGGUUUAUAAAUUAGGUUACAUUGAUGUGGAAUAAGGAGAUGCAUACCACUAAGAGGUAAUUUAUGAUUUCCUUUGGUUAAUAAAAGAAAAUUAUUCAAACCUAGAACAUCUAGAAAACUAUGAUACAUAAGCAAACAUGCUUUUUGUAAUACAUGCAUUUUUUUUAGGCACAU
rnacentral:lncRNA from 1 species